CAGUCGCCGCGGGAAUACGAAGGGUGCAAGCGUUACUCGGAAUUACUGGGCGUAAAGCGUGCGUAGGUGGUGGUUUAAGUCCGUUGUGAAAGCCCUGGGCUCAACCUGGGAAUUGCAGUGGAUACUGGGUCACUAGAGUGUGGUAGAGGAUAGUGGAAUUUCCGGUGUAGCAGUGAAAUGCGUAGAGAUCGGAAGGAACAUCUGUGGCGAAGGCGACUAUCUGGGCCAACACUGACACUGAGGCACGAAAGCGUGGGGAGCAAACAGGAUUAGAGACCCGUGUAGUCCCUGUCUCUUAUAA
rnacentral:rRNA from 1 species